rnacentral:lncRNA from 1 species
ACUUAUGAACAGAGUGAUUUCCACGUUCAGCCAUUGACUGCAUCUGUUAUCCCUAAAUCCCAUGACUCAAGCCUAGGAAACUUGGUCUUGUUUCUGAACAAAAACAAACUGUUGAAAUUGUUACAAUUAUUAUACAGUAUACUCCUUACCCCAUCUAGAAGAGUGUUUGUUAGAUGCAUGCGAAGAUCUUUACGAAAUGGAAAUUCCAGAUUAGAUACAUGAAAAAUUGAAUUGUCUCUAUCAAUCAUAUAUACUUCAUUCUUGCCAUCAAUCAGCAUCAUGUACCGAGUACCGUCUGCUUUCCAGCUAACUUUGUAUGGCUUCUGUUCCAGAAAUUUAAUAUUUUGCUUGUCCAUGGAAACAGGCUGUGCUCCAGGGAAUCCAGACCCUUCCCAUCCACAGAACUGCUGACACUUCUGCUGUAUUCCUCCCAGCUUUGGUUGUGUUGUCACCUGGGUCACAUAUUUAACUGUUACACCUUCCAAGAAAACUGCACCCAGUUUUAGGUGUUCUUUUCUCCUCUUGCCAAAGGAAGAGCUUGAUGAUCCAGGUUCUGAUUCUUGGCCUCCCAUUUUACCAUUGUCAUCAUCUUCCUCUUCAU